GACGAACGCUGGCGGCGUGCUUAACACAUGCAAGUCGAACGGACAGACAGAGAGCUUGCUCUCUUGAAGUUAGUGGCGAACGGGUGAGUAACGCGUAAUCAACCUGCCCUUCAGAGGGGGAUAACAACGGGAAACCGUUGCUAAUACCGCGUACGAUUCAUGAACGGCAUCGUUUAUGAAUGAAAGGUGGCCUCUAUGUAUAAGCUAUCGCUGAAGGAGGGGCUUGCGUCUGAUGAGCUAGUUGGUGGGGUAACGGCCAACCAAGGCAAUGAUCAGUAGCCGGUCUGAGAGGAUGAACGGCCACAUUGGGACUGAGACACGGCCCAAACUCCUACGGGAGGCAGCAGUGGGGAAUCUUCCGCAAUGGACGAAAGUCUGACGGAGCAACGCCGCGUGAGUGAUGAAGGUCUUCGGAUUGUAAAGCUCUGUUAAUCGGGACGAAAGAGUUCUGCGUGAAUAAUGCAGAAAAGUGACGGUACCGGAAUAGAAAGCCACGGCUAACUACGUGCCAGCCGCCGCCGUAA
rnacentral:rRNA from 1 species